GCAAGUCGAGCGCGUGAAGCAGAUGGAAUCCUUCGGGAGGAAAUCUGUGGAACGAGCGGCGGACGGGUGAGUAACACGUGGGUAACCUGCCUGUAAGACUGGGAUAACUCGCGGAAACGUGAGCUAAUACCGGAUGAAACUUAUCAUCACCUGAUGAAAAGAUGAAAGGCGGCUUCGGCUGCCACUUACAGAUGGACCCGCGGCGCAUUAGCUAGUUGGUGAGGUAAUGGCUCACCAAGGCAACGAUGCGUAGCCGACCUGAGAGGGUGAUCGGCCACACUGGGACUGAGACACGGCCCAGACUCCUACGGGAGGCAGCAGUAGGGAAUCUUCCGCAAUGGACGAAAGUCUGACGGAGCAACGCCGCGUGAGUGAUGAAGGUUUUCGGAUCGUAAAACUCUGUUGUUAGGGAAGAACAAGUAUCGUUCGAAUAGGGCGGUACCGUGACGGUACCUAACCAGAAAGCCCCGGCUAACUACGUGCCAGCAGCCGCGGUAAUACGUAGGGGGCAAGCGUUGUCCGGAAUUAUUGGGCGUAAAAGUGCUCGCAGGCGGCCUUUUAAGUCUGAUGUGAAAGCCCACGGCUUAACCGUGGAGGGUCAUUGGAAACUGAGGGGCUUGAGUACAGAAGAGGAGAGUGGAAUUCCACGUGUAGCGGUGAAAUGC
rnacentral:rRNA from 1 species